AAUAGACCGGGAAGUAAAGAUAUGAGAAGACAACAGGGAUUGCCCCAGUAACGGCGAGUGAAGCGGCAACAGCUCAAAUUUGAAAUCUGGUCCCUAGGGCCCGAGUUGUAAUUUGUAGAGGAUGCUUUUGGUGAGGUGCCGCCCGAGUUCCCUGGAACGGGACGCCACAGAGGGUGAGAGCCCCGUCUGGCUGGCCGCCGAGCCUCUGUAAAGCUCCUUCGACGAGUCGAGUAGUUUGGGAAUGCUGCUCAAAAUGGGAGGUAUAUGUCUUCUAAAGCUAAAUAUUGGCCAGAGACCGAUAGCGCACAAGUAGAGUGAUCGAAAGAUGAAAAGCACCUUGAAAAGAGGGUUAAAUAGUACGUGAAAUUGUUGAAAGGGAAGCGCUUGUGACCAGACUUGGGCGCGGCGGAUCAUCCGGGGUUCUCUCCGGUGCACUUCGCCGCGUCUAGGCCAGCAUCAGUUCGUCGCGGGGGAAAAAGGCUUCGGGAACGUGGCUCCUCCGGGAGUGUUAUAGCCCGUUGCAUAAUACCCUGCGGUGGACUGAGGACCGCGCAUCUGCAAGGAUGCUGGCGUAAUGGUCACCAGCGACCCGUCUUGAAACACGGACCAAGGAGUCGUCUUCGUAUGCGAGUGUUCGGGUGUCAAACCCCUACGCGUAAUGAAAGUGAACGCAGGUGAGAGCUUCGGCGCAUCAUCGACCGAUCCUGAUGUUCUCGGAUGGAUUUGAGUAAGAGCAUACGGGGCCGGACCCGAAAGAAGGUGAACUAUGCCUGUAUAGGGUGAAGCCAGAGGAAACUCUGGUGGAGGCUCGCAGCGGUUCUGACGUGCAAAUCGAUCGUCAAAUAUGGGCAUGGGGGCGAAAGACUAAUCGAACCUUCUAGUAGCUGGUUUCCGCCGAAGUUUCCCUCAGGAUAGCAGUGUUGAGCUCAGUUUUAUGAGGUAAAGCGAAUGAUUAGGGACCCGGGGGCGCUAUAUUGCCU
rnacentral:rRNA from 1 species